UGCCGCGUGCGUGAUGACGGUCCUCUGAAUUGUAAACUGCUUUUGUGGAAAAAAAGCACUCCUACUUGUAGGAUCUUGACGGGAUCUUACCAAUAAAGAUCGGCUAACUCCGUGCCGGCCCCCCCGGUAAUACAGAAGAUCCGGGCGUUACCCUGAAUCAUUGUGUUGAAAGGGUCCCUAGGCGGUUUAGUAAGUCAGUGGUGAAGUCCCAUCGCUCGGCGGUGGAACGGCCCUUGAUACUGCUAAGCUUAAAUUAUUAAGAAGUAACUAGGAUAUGUUUUGUAGCGGUGAAAUGCUUAGAGAUUACAUGGAAUACCAAUUGCGAAGGCAGGUUACUACUAAGGGAUUGACGCUAAUGGACGAAAGCGUGGGUAGCGAACAGGAUUAGAUACCCUGGUAGUCCACGCCGUACACGAUGGAUACUAGCUGUUGGAAGCAAUUUCAGUGGCUAAUCGAAAGUGAUAAGUAUCCCACCUGGGGAGUACGUUCGCAAGAAUGAAACUCAAAGGAAUUGACGGGGGCCCGCACAAGCGGUGGAGCAUGUGGUAUAAUUCGAUGAUACUCGAGGAACCUUACCAAGGCUUACAUGUACUUUGACCGAUUUGGAAACAGAUCUUUCGCA
rnacentral:rRNA from 1 species